rnacentral:snRNA from 1 species
GAAUGUGAGGGCGAUCUGGCUGCAACCUCUGUCACCCCAUUGAUCGCCAGGGUUGAUUCGGCUGAUCUGGCUGGCUAGGCCGGUGUCCCCCUCCUCCCUCACCGAUCCAUGUGCGUCCCUCCCGAAGCUGCGCGCUCGGUCGAAGAGGACGACCUCCCCCCCUCCCCCAGGAGAGGACCGGUCUUGGUCAAGGGUAUACGAGUAGCUGCGCUCCCCUGCCAGAAUCGCCAAACAAGCUCUCAAGUUUUCAAUUCCAUUUUGUCUUUUUUAAUAUAUUUUUUUAUUGAUUUCAGAGAGGAAGGGAGAGACAGAAACAUCAAUAAUGAGAAUCAUUCAUU